CACAGAAGUAAAGAAAACUGCGAGUUCGAUCGCAUGCGUCUGCCGCAAAAAAAGUAGUAUUUUCGUGUAAUUUAUACAAAUUUUGAUUUACGCAAUCGCCGUCCCCGGUGACAACCCGAGCAAAAUGCGUCACGUAAAGUUCAUCGCCCGUACGGUGCUGGUGCAGAACAACAACGUCGAGGAAGCUUGCCGGGUGCUGAACCGCAUCCUUGGGAAAGAGGAAAUCUUCGACCAGUUCCGCAGGACCCGCUUCUACGAGAAGCCAUUCCAGACGAGGCGUCGGGUGAACUUCGAAAAGUGCAAAGCCAUCUACAACGAGGACAUGAACCGGAAGAUUCAGUUCGUGCUGCGGAAGAACAGGGUGGACCCGUUCCCGGGAUGUUCGUAGGAAAGAACGUCGCUCGGGUGGCAAUGAUCGGGGGCUGUUGGCAUCCGGCGUUGGAAUAUUAUUGUGAACAGUUUCCUACAUAUGUACUAGCUUUGCUAAAAGGUUAAUGACGAAUCUUGUAGAAAUGGCCAAAUAUUUCACCACACAUAAAUCAUACCAUAAAACGGACCGAAUGUUGCAACGGGGCAAGAAUUGCUGGAACCGUGCACAAUAAAAUCAGUUGCAAGGGUCUCACUUUUGGGUCCUGUCUCCCCGUGUGUGUCCCUCUUUAA